rnacentral:tRNA from 1 species
GUGCACAUAGCUCAGUUGGUAGAGCAUGAGACCCUUAAUCUCAGAGUCACGGGUUCAAGCCCCACAUUGGGUAAA